UACGUAGGGUCCGAGCGUUGUCCGGAAUUAUUGGGCGUAAAGAGCUUGUAGGCGGUUUGUCGCGUCUGCUGUGAAAAUCCGGGGCUCAACCCCGGACUUGCAGUGGGUACGGGCAGACUAGAGUGUGGUAGGGGAGACUGGAAUUCCUGGUGUAGCGGUGGAAUGCGCAGAUAUCAGGAGGAACACCGAUGGCGAAGGCAGGUCUCUGGGCCACUACUGACGCUGAGAAGCGAAAGCAUGGGGAGCGAACAGG
rnacentral:rRNA from 1 species